rnacentral:rRNA from 1 species
AUUGAACGCUGGCGGCAGGCCUAACACAUGCAAGUCGAGCGAGCGGCGGACGGGUGAGUAAUGUAUGGGGACUGCCCGAUAGAGGGGGAUAACUACUGGAAACGGUAGCUAAUACCGCAUACUAUCGGAUUACCCAGAUGGGAUUAGCUAGUCGGUGGGGUAAUGGCUCACCGAGGCGACGAUCCCCAGCUGGGCUGAGAGGAUGAUCAGCAACACUGGGACUGAGACACGGCCCAGACUCCUACGGAGGCAGCAGUGGGGAAUAUUGCACAAUGGGCGCAAGCCUGAUGCAGCCAUGCCGCGUGUGUGAAGAAGGCCCUAGGGUUGUAAAGUACUUUCAGUCGGGAGGCGUUACCGACAGAAGAAGCACCGGCUAACUCCGUGCCAGCAGCCGCGGUAAUUC